UACGUAGGGACCAAGCGUUGUCCGGAAUCAUUGGGCGUAAAGAGCGUGUAGGCGGUCUGUUAAGUCUUGCGUGAAAUCUCGGGGCUCAACCCCGAGCGGUCGUGAGAAACUGGCAGGCUAGAGUGCGGGAGAGGAGAGUGGAAUUCCUGGUGUAGCGGUGAAAUGCGCAGAUAUCAGGAAGAACACCCGUGGUGAAGGCGGCUCUCUGGAACGCAACUGACGCUGAAGACGCGAAAGCGUGGGGAGCAAACAGG
rnacentral:rRNA from 1 species